AUAACUCUUCCUCUGAUAUGUUCUUAUCAGUUUAAUAUCUGAUAUGUGAUCCAAUGGAUCACAUGAUAUUAAAUUAUUUUUUUGAGGGGAAGAAGUCACUACAGUAGCAAGCUACUGAGCUUCUCGUGUGUCACACAUGCGUUGCACUACUGCAUAGGCCGGGGAACCCAAA
rnacentral:snRNA from 1 species